AUGCAGAUGCACAUGUGGGGACACGGGUCGCAGUACCGCCGCGGGCCGGACUCCCUCCGCGGCACGCAGCCGGCGGCGAUGCUCCGGCUCCCGUGCUUCUGCUGCGCGCCGGGGUGCCGGAGCCACGUGGACCACCCGCGGGCGUGGCCGCUCAAGGACUUCCGGACGCUGCAGACGCACUACAAGCGCAGGCACUGUGCCAAGCCAUUCCUCUGCCGCAAGUGCGGCAAGGCGCUCGCCGUGCGCGGCGACUGGCGCACGCACGAGAAGAACUGCGGCCGCCGGUGGCACUGCACCUGCGGCUCCGACUUCAAGCACAAGCGCUCGCUCAAGGAUCACAUUCGGGCCUUCGGGCAGGACCACGUCGAGCGGCCGCCCGCCGCCAAGAUGGGACCGUCGAGCCAUGGACGAUAA
rnacentral:rRNA from 1 species